UACGGAGGGUGCAAGCGUUAUCCGGAUUCACUGGGUUUAAAGGUGCGUAGGCGGGCAGGUAAGUCCGUGGUGAAAUCUCUGAGCUUAACUCAGAAACUGCCAUGGAUACUAUUUGUCUUGAAUAUUGUGGAGGUAAGCGGAAUAUGUCAUGUAGCGGUGAAAUGCUUAGAUAUGACAUAGAACACCAAUUGCGAAGGCAGCUUACUACACAGUUAUUGACGCUGAGGCACGAAAGCGUGGGGAUCAAACAGG
rnacentral:rRNA from 1 species